CCUACGGGAGGCAGCAGUGGGGAAUAUUGCACAAUGGGGGGAACCCUGAUGCAGCGACGCCGCGUGAGUGAAGAAGUAUUUCGGUAUGUAAAGCUCUGUCAGCAGGGAAGAAGAAAGACGGUACCUGACCAAGAAGCCCCGGCUAACUACGUGCCAGCAGCCGCGGUAAUACGUAGGGGGCAAGCGUUAUCCGGAUUAAAUGGGUGUAAAGGGAGCGUAGACGGCAGGGCAAGUCUGGAGUGAAAGGCCGGGGCCCAACCCCUGGACUGCUCUGGAAACUGUCCGGCUGGAGGGCAGGAGUGGUAAGUGGAAUUCCUAGUGUAGCGGUGAAAUGCGUAGAUAUUAGGAGGAACACCAGUGGCGAAGGCGGCUUACUGGACUGUAACUGACGUUGAGGCUCGAAAGCGUGGGGAGCAAACAGGAUUAGAUACCCGUGUAGUC
rnacentral:rRNA from 1 species